GGCCAGAAUAUCCCAGAGCCAGAUAAUGACCCUGUGACUUCCAUGAAAACCACCGUAGUACACUGUGUGCUUCCUGAAACAAUGCAGACACGGCUCAGUCAUGCAGACACAGAAACAUAAACAGUACCGGGACAUUUCACCAGAACCACCAGAUGACGACGACGGCUCUCCUGAACGGUACACUCCGUGCCUCUGUGAAGGCAUUGAACGUUCAAGGGCAUGACCUCAUCACUUCUCCAAAAAGAACCGCACAAAACAGUGGGCCAGUCAUUCAUCAGGAUAACACCCCAAUGUGUCAAGAGUCAAAGCAAGACAAUCUCCAGGGAAGGAGUCCAGGCCCGCAGCAGUCAACCUACGUGAUGAGGUGCCGGGAGCAGUCACAGAACAGCAUCAGCAUGGCCAACAGCUGCUUGGACUCUUCGGUGUCAUUGUUGAGGCAUUCCAAGAAGAGCUUCAACCCUCCGUGGGGCCCCAGCUCACAGAUAAACGCCCACAGUUUGGGCAGCAGGUCAUCAAGGGGAUGACCACUGUCAGGAGUUAAACGACAGGGAUUUUGACCCACGAGUGAUUGCCUACGGAAUCUAAGUACUCCCGGAAUGGAGCGCUGAGGAUCCUGGGAAACAGAAGUGCCUCUUCUCAAAGAGAAAUCCAUUGUGGAAUGCAGACGCAGCCAGCAGGUAACAGAGAAGACCACUGCUCCGAUGCCUCAAGAGGGAUGGCUGGGAACGGAUCCCUGGGAGCUCUGCUGACAUUCACGCCAUCGCUCAGCUGCUACCCAAGUCCUUGCCAAGCCUCUGCCCCGGAAACUACAUCCUAAAGGCCCCAGGAUCUAAAAGGAAUUUGAAAUUAGCUACCAAUUUUUACAAAUGAGAAAACAGCAUAAAGAAGUCCAGCAUCUCUUUAAAAAAAAUCAGGGUCCACCCCUGGCUGCAGAGUAGAGGCCGUGCCCUCUGGAUGGGCACGCCACAGACCCCACCGCUCCCUCCGAGGUCUCGCCACCACUGUGAGUUACCAUGUAUUGUGACCUACAUUAUGUUUUAUCUCAUCAAUGGCUUCUUCACUCUUUCUUUUUUUAAAAUAUAUUUUUAUUGAUUUCAGAGAGGAAGGGAGAGGGAAAGAGAGAUAGAAACAUCAAUGAUGAGAGAGAAUCACUGACCAGCUGCCUCCUGCACGCCCCCUACUAGGGAUUGAGCCCACAACCCAGGCAUAUGCCCUUGACCAGAAUUGAACCCGGGCCCCUUCAGUCCGAAGUCACUCUUUCAUCUAACCUCCCUGGCCUCCAUAUGCAUCUGAGUCCAACAAGUGCUCUUAAUAGUCGAUGAGAAAAGAUUUGUGAGGAGGUCCAGAAGCACUGGGCGUAACCCUGCAAAUCAGGCCCAAGAAGACAAAGGGCAGGAUGUGGGAGUGGCGGAGAGCUGCCCUAAGAACAGGGUGCCUUAGCAUUUAUAAAAGACCCGGCAGACAGAAAGGACGAUGUAUGUUUGCUGUUAUUAUUUUACCUCAUU